AUGAACACUGACUUGCAAGCAGAAGGUGUUGCCCCAUUGCUGAAGGUCCAGACUGACCGCGGGGCCCCUGGGGGACCUCACCCUUCACCUUUCUCAUAUCCCAGGUGCCAGGCUCCUGUAUGUGAGGAAGAGGAAAUAUCACUUUCUACUGACAUCUGACACCUAAUCCUUGCCCAAGAAUCCCGGGAAAAGGACGUUAUGUAAGGUUUACGCCUGCUGUGGCACAGAAAGCUCGGUGAGAGGUAACCUGCUCAUUCCUCAUUUACCCCGACGCCUUUGCACAGACUAGAUCAAAUAACUAGAAAUUUGAAGGACAAGCCAUCGAUAAGCUGAACCAAAGAGAAUGGCCACUUAGCUGCUUGAGCGAGAGAUGCCAGAGAAACCUGAAGCUGGAGGUGCGGGACGCGUGUGAA
ensembl:lncRNA